AAAUUGAAGAGUUUGAUCAUGGCUCAGAUUGAACGCUGGCGGCAGGCCUAACACAUGCAAGUCGAACGGUAACAGGAAGCAGCUUGCUGCUUUGCUGACGAGUGGCGGACGGGUGAGUAAUGUCUGGGAAACUGCCUGAUGGAGGGGGAUAACUACUGGAAACGGUGGCUAAUACCGCAUAACGUCGCAAGACCAAAGAGGGGGACCUUCGGGCCUCUUGCCAUCAGAUGUGCCCAGAUGGGAUUAGCUUGUUGGUGAGGUAACGGCUCACCAAGGCGACGAUCCCUAGCUGGUCUGAGAGGAUGACCAGCCACACUGGAACUGAGACACGGUCCAGACUCCUACGGGAGGCAGCAGUGGGGAAUAUUGCACAAUGGGCGCAAGCCUGAUGCAGCCAUGCCGCGUGUAUGAAGAAGGCCUUCGGGUUGUAAAGUACUUUCAGCGGGGAGGAAGGUGUUGUGGUUAAUAACCGCAGCAAUUGACGUUACCCGCAGAAGAAG
rnacentral:rRNA from 1 species